rnacentral:rRNA from 1 species
UUGCACGCUGGCGGCAGGCCUAACACAUGCAAGUCGCACGGUAACAGGAAGAAGCUUGCUUCUUUGCUGACGAGUGGCGGACGGGUGAGUAAUGUCUGGGAAACUGCCUGAUGGAGGGGGAUAACUACUGGAAACGGUAGCUAAUACCGCAUAACGUCGCAAGACCCAAGAGGGGGACCUUCGGGCCUCUUGCCAUCGGAUGUGCCCAGAUGGGAUUAGCUAGUAGGUGGGGUAACGGCUCACCUAGGCGACGAUCCCUAGCUGGUCUGAGAGGAUGACCAGCCACACUGGACCGGAGACACGGUCCAGACUCCUACGGGAGGCAGCAGUGGGGAAUAUUGCACAGUGGGCGGAAGCCUGAUGCAGCCAUGCCGCGUGUAUGAAGAAGGCCUUCGGGUUGUAAAGUACUUUCAGCGGGGAGGAAGGGAGUAAAGUUAAUACCUUUGCUCAUUGACGUUACCCGCAGAAGAAGCACCGGCUAACUCCGUG